AUUGAACGCUGGCGGCAGGCCUAACACAUGCAAGUCGAGCGGAGCGGCGGACGGGUGAGUAAUGCCUAGGAAUCUGCCUGGCAGUGGGGGACAACGUCCGGAAACGGGCGCUAAUACCGCAUACUAUCAGAUCAGCCUAGGUCGGAUUAGCUAGCUGGUGGGUUAAUGACCUACCAAGGCGACGAUCCGUAACUGGUCUGAGCGGAUGAUCAGUCACACUGGAACUGAGACACGGUCCAGACUCCUACGGGAGGCAGCAGUGGGGAAUAUUGGACAAUGGGCGAAAGCCUGAUCCAGCCAUGCCGCGUGUGUGAAGAAGGUCUUCGGAUUGUAAAGCACUUUAAGUUGGGAAGCGUUACCAACAGAAUAAGCACCGGCUAACUUCGUGCCAGCCGCCGCGGUAAUUC
rnacentral:rRNA from 1 species